rnacentral:rRNA from 1 species
GACAGAGGGUGCAAACGUUGUUCGGAAUUACUGGGCGUAAAGCGCGUGUAGGCGGCUAAGUAAGUCGGGCGUGAAAUCCCACGGCUCAACCGUGGAAGUGCACUCGAAACUGCAUAGCUAGAGUCCUGGAGAGGAAGGUGGAAUGCUUGGUGUAGAGGUGAAAUUCGUAGAUAUCAAGCGGAACACCAGUGGCGAAGGCGGUCUGCUGGGCAGUAGCUGACACUGAGGCGCGACAGCGUGGGGAGCAAACAGG